CAGGAUUGCCUGUCAUGGGGUGACAGAGACAUGCUGAAGGGGAUGGCCACCCACCUACUCACCAAGAAAAAUUCUACCCUCCUGCUAGCGCCGGUGAGACCUGGAAAAUAAGCUGCCCUUGGAAACGAAGCCCAGAGGUAAACAACUGAGCAGCUCACCAACCUGUUGGAGAAGUUCCACUUUGUCUGCCGAAUGAAGAACCUUGGGAAAUAAGACUUGAAUUGUUUUGGUGGAAGAUCAGAGGCAGUAGCUCACCUACACUUGGUGCUACAGAUCCUUCCUGUAUUUGUCCUGUGAGCAGAAUCCCCACUUUUCCUCAGUUUCCUGUGGAGUUAUGGAGUCCAAAAGGAGACGGAAAGACAGCACUUGGGAGAGCUGCCCACCCAAAAUGAACCCAACCCAAUUCCAGAUGAUUUGGCUCUGUGUUGAAUGGGGCUUUCUUAUUGUUUUCUUUUUUCCUUUGAGAUUGGUUUGCAUUAUC